UACGUAGGGUGCGAGCGUUGUCCGGAAUUAUUGGGCGUAAAGAGCUCGUAGGCGGUGUGUCACGUCGUUCGUGAAAACCUGCAGCUUAACUGUGGGCGUGCGGUCGAUACGGGCAUCACUGGAGUUCGGCAGGGGAGACUGGAAUUCCUGGUGUAGCGGUGAAAUGCGCAGAUAUCAGGAGGAACACCGGUGGCGAAGGCAGCUCGCUGGGACGUUACUGACACUGAGGCGCGAAAGCGUGGGGAGCGAACAGG
rnacentral:rRNA from 1 species